AAAGAUUAAGCCAUGCAUGUCUCAGUAUGAACUAUCUAUUGUGAAACCGCGAAUGGCUCAUUACAACAGCCAUAGUUUACUGGAUAUAUUCCAUUACAUGGAUAACUGUGGUAAUUCUACAGCUAAUACACGCAUCAAAACCCUGACUUCGGAAAGGGUGCGUUAGUUACUUCAAACUGACUAGACUUCGGUCUGGCUCCAAGUGAAAUUGAACUAUUUAGCUGAUCGCACGGUCUAAGCACCGGCGACAUAUCCUUCAAAUGUCUGCCUUAUCAACUGUCGAUGGUAGAUUAUGCGACUACCAUGGUUGUAACGGGUAACGGAGAAUCAGGGUUUGAUUCCGGAGAGGGAGCCUGAGAAAUGGCUACCACAUCCAAGGAAGGCAGCAGGCACGCAAAUUACCCACUCCCGGCACGGGGAGUUAGUGACGAAAAAUAACAAGCUGUUCUCUUUGAGUUCCGGCAUUGUAAUGGGAACAACUUAAAUCAUUUAUCGAGGAUCUAUUGGAGGGCAAGUCUGGUGCCAGCAGCCGCGGUAAUUCCAGCUCCAAUAGCGUAUAUUAAAGUUGUUGCGGUUAAAAAGCUCGUAGUUGGAUCUACGAUCCAGGCCAGUGGUCGCCCUUCUCGGGUGCACUGCUCGGACUGAUCGACAUAUCUGGUGAACGAUUGUUGCUCUUCAUUGAGUGACUCUAGUUGCUGGAACGUUUACCUUGAAAAAAUUGAAGUGCUCAAAGCAGGCAUAUGCCUGAACAUUGCUGCAUGGGAUAAUUGAAUAGGACAUCGGUUCUAUUUUGUUGGUUUCGGAACGCGAAGUAAUGAUUAAUAGGGACAGACGGGGGCAUUCGUAUUGCUGCGUUAGAGGUGAAAUUCUUGGAUCGUAGCAAGACGACCUACUGCGAAAGCAUUUGCCAAGAAUGUUUUCAUUAAUCAAGAACGAAAGUUAGAGGUUCGAAGGCGAUCAGAUACCGCCCUAGUUCUAACCGUAAACGAUGUUAACUAGCGACUCGCAGGUGUUACUUUAACGGCCCUGCGAGGAGCUCCCGGGUAACCUAAGUGUUCGAAUUCCGGGGGAAGUAUGGUUGCAAAGCUGAAACUUAAAGGAAUUGACGGAAGGGCACCACCAGGAGUGGAGCUUGCGGCUUAAUUUGACUCAACGCGGGGAAACUCACUUGGUCAGGACACUGUAAGGAUUGACAGAUUGAAAGCUCUUUCUUGAUUCGGUGGAUGGUGGUGCAUGGCCGUUCUUAGUUGGUGGAGUGAUUUGUCUGGUUAAUUCCGAUAACGAGCGAGA
rnacentral:rRNA from 1 species